AAAACUUUCAACAACGGAUCUCUUGGUUCUGGCAUCGAUGAAGAACGCAGCGAAAUGCGAUAAGUAAUGUGAAUUGCAGAAUUCAGUGAAUCAUCGAAUCUUUGAACGCAC
rnacentral:rRNA from 1 species